rnacentral:rRNA from 1 species
CGCUGGCGGUAGGCCUAACACAUGCAAGUCGAGCGGUAGAGAGGUGCUUGCACCUCUUGAGAGCGGCGGACGGGUGAGUAAUGCCUAGGAAUCUGCCUGGUAGUGGGGGAUAACGCUCGGAAACGGACGCUAAUACCGCAUACGUCCUACGGGAGAAAGCAGGGGACCUUCGGGCCUUGCGCUAUCAGAUGAGCCUAGGUCGGAUUAGCUAGUUGGUGGGGUAAUGGCUCACCAAGGCGACGAUCCGUAACUGGUCUGAGAGGAUGAUCAGUCACACUGGAACUGAGACACGGUCCAGACUCCUACGGGAGGCAGCAGUGGGGAAUAUUGGACAAUGGGCGAAAGCCUGAUCCAGCCAUGCCGCGUGUGUGAAGAAGGUCUUCGGAUUGUAAAGCACUUUAAGUUGGGAGGAAGGGCAUUAACCUAAUACGUUAGUGUUUUGACGUUACCGACAGAAUAAGCACCGGCU